CGAAAGCCUGACGGAGCAAUACCGCGUGAGGGAGGAAGGCUUUUGGGUUGUAAACCUCUUUUCUCAAGGAAGAAGAACUGACGGUACUUUAAGAAUAAGCAUCGGCUAACUCCGUGCCAGCAGCCGCGGUAAUACGGAGGAUGCAAGCGUUAUCCGGAAUCAUUGGGCGUAAAGCGUCCGCAGGUGGCUAAUCAAGUCUGCUGUUAAAGACAGAGGCUCAACUUCUGAUAGGCAGUGGAAACUGGUUAACUAGAGUAUGGUAGGGGUUGAGGGAAUUCCCAGUGUAGCGGUGAAAUGCGUAGAUAUUGGGAAGAACACCAGUGGCGAAGGCGCUCAACUGGGCCAUAACUGACACUCAGGGACGAAAGCUAGGGUAGCG
rnacentral:rRNA from 1 species